ensembl:lncRNA
AACCGCUUGAAUAAGAGGAAAGCUGGUGAUGAAGGAACAUCUUGGAGCGGAGUGACUGGGUUUGGAACCGUGAAGCAAACAGCAGCCCGCUGAUUAACAAUAAGCUGAUCGCUGAUGAGCGCAGACGGUGAAUGGAACAAAGGAAAGGAUCAAGCCGAGAUCAUUGAGGCCGCUGCCAUCACAGAGACCACCCCUCCACCUCAAGCACCUCUUCUGCAUCGGUAGCCCUAAGCCCCCCAACCCCCAGGAAGAAAAAAGAUUAACCAUCUACUGAUGGUUCAAACCAACCGUUUUUUGGGCCCCUUUGAAAAAAAUAUUGAUAAAAUGUGAUGGUUGAUGCCUUUUUCUAAUGUGCAAUAAUAGUUCCAUCAUAGCACUGGUUCUUGUUCGUAUGAUAUUUAUGUUUUACAUGGAUGGCAUACUACCUCAAGAUCUAUGUUUAUUCUGGUAUUAUAUAUUAUUGUUUGGGUACAAUGUUCGAUCCAAAAUAAAGUGCAAUGUUGCAGUUUCUAACAGAUCGUGAGAUUGAAUAAUAUUCUUAUCUAAU